rnacentral:rRNA from 1 species
AUGCCUCGGAUGGUCAAAUGUGGAGGCAAUUUUAGAAAGUGCCUCCAAAAGUCAGAACGCCUCAACAAAACUGAACUGGGCAACCAUUCAGCGCGACUCUGCUGCAACGACCACAACACACACAGCAGGCUGGCGCUGGGACUGCUGCGCCACCUCAUCGGGGGGAGACUAGUAUACAAUCUGAGUUUACCGUGGAAGAAUAGAAAAAAGAUCCUGGGCCAUUGGAUUUGGGAUGUAUGGCAUAGAUUAGAGAGGUGGGAUCUGUACAGAUCGUGUGCAAAACUUUCCCUUUGCUCCCCACGAAUUUGCUUCAGGUCCUUCUUCUCCUCCCUCAAACGACACAUCUCUCUAUCGCUCUCCUGUUCCCCUAUCGCUCGCCGAACCUGGCGGCUGCCCAGAUCCGGUGAUUCCCUGGUGGACGACGACUACUCCCACGACUGCUCCCUGCCUCCCCCCUCCCAAUCCGGCAUUCAGGUCAGUUAUCUCCAUCUCCCGGUCACCCCAUCGUCGCGCUGCACAUCAUCGUCAGGGAAAAGGCCACAGCCGCCACGGUGUUCUCCUCCCCGGUGGCCGCGAGUGCCCCGCCCGCUAAGCUGUUCACUCUUAUCUUUCCGCAGGCAAUCUGGUAGUGCUCGAGCGCGUGGUGAUGCCACCACGGUAUCCUCCUCCCCGGUGCUCCUAGGUCCAGCAUUAGCUCACCGGAGCCAAGCCGGUGACGCUCGAUCUGCUCGCCUCCUUCGCCUCGCAUGCUCAGCAAGCGACAUCAAGAUGAUCCAAAGCACUGUCCAGGACAAGUCGCCGGCUGCGCUGCUUGUAGAUGAAAUUAAACUGCUCCUCGGACUUGACCUGGAGCAUGCAAUAAAGCAUUGGGGGUCACUUCAGUCCUUCACACUUGGGGUUCGCUGUUCAUGUCGUGGAAAAGGAUGUCAUGUUAUGUACCAAAAACAGCACGCGUGGAAAAAGCGACAUGGCGCACGGCAGUUUUGGCGCCCGUCGUCCACCGCAUUGGAUAAAAACGGUGCGCGGGCGCCCGCCAACUGCCAUCUUCCUCGUCUCGACUUUUGCCGCCACGUCUUCUUCCUUGCUGCCGCCGUGCCUUCUCCCCCUGCCGCCGCCAUGCCGCAGCGCCCCCGAAGCAGGUCCGGCUUCCGCGACGUUCGCCUCCACCCCUCCGGCUUGUAUUUUGCGAAGGUCCGCUCCGGCGAUACACGCCUUGGGCUCGGGACGUUCGAGACCGCCCACGAGGCCGCCCGCCCGUACGACGCGGCUGCAUGGCGCCUCGAGAGGAUGUCGUCGCUGAGAACGAGUUCUGGGCGCAAAGGAGGGCGAAGCGAGCCGCGCGUCAGGCGGACAAGCAUGAGCGAAAGACACUGGCGAAAGCCCGGUGCGAGCUUGAACAUGCGUCAACCUGGGACGAGGACGAUGUGGUUGGUCGACGCGUUUACGUCGUCGGACUACACCACCGAGGAAGAUGACGAGUAG